rnacentral:lncRNA from 1 species
CAUGGCAAUGGUUAUAAAGGAGCAGAUUUUCCAAACUGGUGUUUCAAGGAACAUUCUUUGGCAGGAUGUUAAAAACAGGAAACAGCAAGCCUGAAAAAGGAAAUUGACGAAGAAACAAUUUGGUUAUUCUUGACUCAGUGGCCAAGGAGGGAACACAGAUGCAAGGAAGACUGGGAAAUGCAGUAUACAGCUGGAGACAUCAUUGCCCUAAAUAAAAAUAGGACUCUUACCAAGAAGGGAGAGGAGAAUGGAUAUUGGGUGGCAUCACAGUCUCUCACACCUGAGCAUCUGAUUCUGUCAGAAGUUAAAUGAUGACCUCUCCUGUGGAUCCCUGGGUUCUUAUGAAGCAUGAGUAUAAUACAAGAUGUCAACAGGUAUUGCAAAGAUACUUAUGGAGCACCCCCAUGUUUGAGGAGCUGUGCGAGGCCUUGGAGUUGAAGCCGUGAGUAGAAAGACAAAGGCUCGGGCUCAGGAGCUUAUAUUCUAGUGAGAAGAGUGACAAUGAAGAUGCAGCUGCCAGGAUCUACCACAACCUGUACAGGAUGUUUUGGGACAGCGACUUGGAGCAGCAUUUGGUGGGAGAGGACGGAAGCUGUGAGACGUCAGCUCUGAGCCCUGAGUCCAGGGCUGGUCCUGUGGAGACAGGGGUUGCUAUGUCAUGAGCAGUGUGUGUGUGAG